rnacentral:lncRNA from 1 species
CAACCACUAAAGGAAUCAAAACAUGUCUUUGCUUUAGGAAACCGAGAUCAAACCACAAGCCUUAAGGCUCGUCUGUGUGACACAGAAUCACAGAAGGCAUAUAUGAGUGGAUUAGAUGUAUGCAAAGGAUGAGUCUUGCUUGCCUUCACUCUUGGAGUGAUGUCACACCUGCAGGA